UGGUUGUGGUAACUAUAAAUAGCCAAUUUAUCACAGAUAAAAUAUAUUAAGAAAACAGCAAUAUAAAAAUUUAAGAUGGUUUUAAAAUAACUAUGUUUUAUAAAGAAAUCACUAAAAUUAUUUUAACAAUAUCAAAUGUCAGUAAAUAACAUUUGUAACAAAUUAAGCAGUCAGCUCUCUAAAUCUCAGACUCCCGAAAUCCCUGGCUUAAAAAAUGUGAGGUCCCGAAUUUAAUAAAUUUAAAUCCAGACAUCCCGAAAUUUUAAAAUAGAAUUCCCAGAUCCCGAAAGGGUCAAUCCGGAAAUCCCGAGCUUAAAAACACCUUCGAGUCCGAUAAAGGUCCUAUCCCCCCUCUUUGUUGGUAAAAAUUUUCAUGGAUAUUGUUGUACAGGUAAACAACGUAUUUAAAUGUUCGAAUAAAAAAUUUUCUAUAAGGUUGUAUGGAGACUUUUACAAAACCACGAAAUUAAAUAUUCUCAAAAUGGUAUGAAAAUUGGUACCCACGAAAAUAAAUGUAUCCACAAUAUAUGUAGAGGAAUGGCAUUUUUAUUUUUGAUACUGACUUUAUUAGCUAGAUAUCAAGUGAACCCACUAGGGUGAUCUGAUACAUGAGAUGUUGAAGUCAGUAACGGUAUCAAAACAUGCCAUUAUGCUUUUUAUUGACAAUAAAUGCCUGGACAUUAUAAUUUUUUU
rnacentral:lncRNA from 1 species